rnacentral:tRNA from 1 species
GCCUAGUUAGCUUAGUUGGUAGUGCGUCUGCCUUGUAAGCGCUAGGCCGCAGGUUCGAUUCCCGCCCGAGGCG